rnacentral:rRNA from 1 species
AAAGAUUAAGCCAUGCAUGUCUAAGUAUAAGCAACUUGUACUGUGAAACUGCGAAUGGCUCAUUAAAUCAGUUAUCGUUUAUUUGAUAGUACCUUACUACAUGGAUACCUGUGGUAAUUCUAGAGCUAAUACAUGCUAAAAACCCCGACUUCAGGGAGGGGUGUAUUUAUUAGAUAAAAAACCAACGCCCUUCGGGGCUCCUUGGUGAAUCAUAAUAACUUAACGAAUCGCAUGGCCUUGCGCCGGCGAUGGUUCAUUCAAAUUUCUGCCCUAUCAACUGUCGAUGGUAGGAUAGAGGCCUACCAUGGUUG